rnacentral:lncRNA from 1 species
AUGGUGCCUUUGUCUAGCCGUUCUCUGCUCCGUAGGCAUAGGGACCCGAGACCAAAGGUUUUCGCCUUGCGGUAAAGGCCACGGCGUGGUGACAACAUCCCGUGGCUCUGUGUUGGUUUCGAAAGUCAUCAACAAAUGUGGAAGACUCAUUGCACGGCACUACGCUUGGAACAUAUCGACGACCGUAAAAAUGAUCACAAAAGGUUGCGUUGCAGUCCGACU